UACGUAGGGGGCAAGCGUUGUCCGGAAUCAUUGGGCGUAAAGAGCGUGUAGGCGGCCCGAUAAGUCCGCUGUGAAAGUCCAGGGCUCAACCCUGGGAUGCCGGUGGAUACUGUCGGGCUCGAGUCCGGAAGAGGAGUGUGGAAUUCCUGGUGUAGCGGUGAAAUGCGCAGAUAUCAGGAGGAACACCGGUGGCGAAGGCGGGUCUCUGGGCAACAACUGACGCUGAGGAGCGAAAGCGUGGGGAGCGAACAGG
rnacentral:rRNA from 1 species